rnacentral:ncRNA from 1 species
ACAAAUGCAGAGAAGGUGGCAUAAAGCAGCCGGAAACCGGUUCCGCUGACAGAGAGAAAAAGUGAGGCGCUGAGAGCUUUUUCAGGACGGACAGUUUUUGGAUUUCACACCGGAGCAGUUUGGAUGAAGUAUAUCAGCGUGAUUGCGCAGAUAUAUGAGUAGUUCAAAACGUUCAUACACGUUACGUAUGCAGAGUGUCUGGUCCGUACUUGGAGCAGGAAGCAGGGUGGUACCGCGGAAUAUCUCCGUCCCUUUU